rnacentral:rRNA from 1 species
AUACGGAGGGUGCAAGCGUUAUCCGGAUUUAUUAGGUUUAAAGGGUGUGUAGGCGGUAUUUUAAGUCAGUGGUGAAAUCUUUCAGCUUAACUGAGAAACUGCCAUUGAUACUGGAAUACUUGAGUAUAGUUGAGGUAGGCGGAAUAUGUAAUGUAGCGGUGAAAUGCGUAGAUAUUACAUAGAACACCGAUUGCGAAGGCAGCUUACUAAACUAUUACUGACGCUGAUGCACGAAAGCGUGGGGAGCGAACAGAAUUAGAAACCCUAGUAGUCC